GACGAACGCUGGCGGCGUGCUUAACACAUGCAAGUCGAACGGGAAGGCCCUGCUUUUGUGGGGUGCUCGAGUGGCGAACGGGUGAGUAACACGUGAGUAACCUGCCCUUGACUUUGGGAUAACUUCAGGAAACUGGGGCUAAUACCGGAUAGGAGCUCCUGCUGCAUGGUGGGGGUUGGAAAGUUUCGGCGGUUGGGGAUGGACUCGCGGCUUAUCAGCUUGUUGGUGGGGUAGUGGCUUACCAAGGCUUUGACGGGUAGCCGGCCUGAGAGGGUGACCGGCCACAUUGGGACUGAGAUACGGCCCAGACUCCUAUGGGAGGCAGCAGUGGGGAAUAUUGCACAAUGGGCGGAAGCCUGAUGCAGCAACGCCGCGUGCGGGAUGACGGCCUUCGGGUUGUAAACCGCUUUCGCCUGUGACGAAGCGUGAGUGACGGUAAUGGGUAAAGAAGCACCGGCUAACUACGUG
rnacentral:rRNA from 1 species